CAGGCCUUGAGGGCACAGCGCUGACGAUGUCAGGACCUCCUGCUAAGCUUCACUCCUUAAGGACUGCGCCAGGCUGGGGAGUCAAGCCUCUAACUCGUUGCUUUGCGGGGGCGGGCAUUCAUGAUCCAAGCCAGAGCAAUGAGGAAACUGAUGCUGACAGAGGUUAACUAACUCGCCUGUUCUGCGGCAGCACUGAGAUUAGCUCCGGCGUUGCCCGACUCCAAAGCCAUGGCAGCUAAUCCCCAGGCUCUACAGUAACAACUGGUUCUUCGUGCUGCGGUCUAGGUCACAGCUGAGCAAGCAGCACUUUCAGAGUCACGUAGGGACCAGGGUUGUCUCAAGCUCUCCCUGUAGCGGAGGAUGACCUUGAGCUGCUGAUCUCCUGCCUCGGAUUCCCGAGUUGCUGGGUUUACAGGCAUGCGCUCCACGCCUGGUUUCUGAGGAUCCUAUCCAGAGCUUCCUGCGUGGUAGUCAAGUUCUCUGCUGGGUGAGCGUAAAGCACAGGACAGGAGAUCUAACAUUCUUGGAGUCAGCUGGGUCAUGAGCCAUCUCUUAGCCAGUCUCAGACACUGAGCACCUCUCCUCCUACAUCUGACUGGCUGAUGUCACCUGCUUAGGGAUGGGGUGAUUAUUGCCCUCACAGGAAGACAAUUGGAAGCCCGGAAGUUCCUUCCUCUCUCCCAUCACAUUUUUUUGCAAUGGGGGAAGGGUAGGGCUGGACACUGGGCAGGCGAAGCCAGUAGCUUCCUCAAUGAGGAAGAUUACUGUGGGCCAGGAGUUGCCUGCCUGUCAAAUCCUGAGAGUUCAUCUUAAGCAGAUAUAAUUGGACAAUCAUGUGAAAAUCACCUGUGAUGAUGCUUAUUGGAGUGCUGCUCGAAAUGGAGAAAAACUGCAGAGUCUGCUGGAGAAUUGUUUUUUUUUUUUUUUUUUUUUUCAUCAAUUACACUUUAUUCAUUCUGCAUCCCCCCAUAAGCCCCUCCCUCCUCCCAUCCCAAUCCCACCCUCCCUCUUCCCUCUGCUUGCAUGCCACUCCCCAAGUCCACUAAUAGGGGAGGUUCUCCUCUCCUUUCUGAUCUUAGUAUGUCAGUUCACAUCAAAAGUGGCUGUAUUGUCCUCUACUGUGGCCUGGUAAGGCUGCUCCCCCCAGGGAGAGGUGAUCAAAGAGCAGGCCAAUCAGAUUAUAUCAGAGGCAGUCCCUCUUCACAUUACUAUGUAACCCAAUUGGACUCUGAACUGCCCUGGGCUACAUCUGUGCAGGGGUUCUAGGUUAUCUCCAUGAAUAGUCCUUGGUUGGAGUCUGAGUCUCUGGGAAGUUCCCUAUGUUCAAAUUUUCUUGUUCUGUUGCUCUCCUUGUGGAGACCCUGUCCUCUCCAACUCUUACUAUUUCCCAGUUCUUACCUAAAAUUCCAUUCACUCUGCCCAACAGUUGCCCAUCAGGCUCAGCAUCUGCUUUGAUAGUCUGAAAGGCAGAGGCUUCCAGAGGCCCUCUGUGGUAGGUUCCUAGGUUGUCAUCCUGAGUGAGUUGUCUCAGAAGCAAAAAGACACACAUGGUAUAUACUCACUCAUAUAGACAUACAACAUAGGACAAACCCACUAAAACCUGUGCAUCUAAAGAAACUAAGCAAGAGAGAGGACCCUAACUAAAACGUCCAAUCCCCAUCCAGAAAGGCAAAGAGGAUGGACAUCAGAAGAAGAAGAAAACUGGAGAAUUGUUUAAUGAAAUAGGAAAUGUUCUUAGGGGUACAUGCAACCCCUUUAUGAGUGACAUAUUUGCAGUAAUGGAAUUAAUUUCACAGAAUUUUUUGUGAAUGUUAUUAAAGUAGAACAUGCUUAAGUAA